UUCUCGGUGAGAGAGAGCGGCCCUGGGGGGCGGGGCGCGGCCCCGGCGGGGGCAGGAGCCCGCUCCGCCCGCCCGCCCGCCCCCGGGGCGGCUGUCCCUCCUGCCCCGGGGGCGCAGAGCCAGCGCAUCCCUCGGUUGGCCCCGGGCGCAGGCGGGGAGUAAACCCGCGGGGAGGAGGGGGUUUGGGCGGGAAGGAGCAGCCCGGGCAGCUGCCGCUCUCCAACGGCCCCAGGGAGCCUGGGGAUGCCGGUGGGGCCUCGGCCUUCCCCGCAGAACCACCCCCACCCUCGCCCCCGAUCUCGCCGGCCCGGCAGUCCCGGGAACGGCAGGGUCUUCUGAGGGAAAGCGCCGUGUGGACGUGCCGGCCCGCCACGCUCCCGGCCGGCGGCUGCGGGAAGCUCCGUUUCCGCCUGAGCGAGCGCGGCGGCGGCAGGGGCUCGGCCGGCGGCUCGCCCGGGAGCCGCCCGGCCCCGCAUGCACGGCCACACGUAGGCGGCCGGGGCGAGCCGGGCGGGCGGGGAGGGGGCCGCGGCUGCCGAGCCGCACGUAGGGUGGGUGGGCGCGGCCUCGCCGGCGGCGCGGAGCCGGGCGGGCGGCGGGGGCUCUCCUGCCCCAGAGCUCCACGUCAGGGCGAGCAGCUACCGAGGCGGCCGGGGAGAGGAGCGCUGGCGUCGGAGAGGGAGCCCCCGCGCCUCGCGUGAAAAAACAAACAAGUCUGCCUUCAGUUGAAGCUUUCAAUCAAAAUAGCAAUUCUAAAGGAAGAAAAAGAUAAAUAGGAUUAAGAAAGACACCAUUACUGCUGCUCUGACUCCAUGACUGAAAGUUAUUAGUGAAAUCGACUGCUCCAGGCUGUGGACAAAGAUUAGAGAGUUGUCUAGAAUGCACACAAAUUCUCGAAUGCUUCCAUCACAACAGCCGAGAAGAGGCAGGCCCUACAUUCAUUUGCCUGCAAGAGACUUUCCUACUGACAUCACAAGAUCAAAAAAGUAUUUUGUUUUCAAAUACAAUUCCUGAUCCUAGGACUGGCAGUAUUCUAAGCAAAAAUGUCACUGGCAGGAAAAAUAGUAACAUUGUAACAUAUUCAACAGGGGCCACAUUCUCAAUUUAAAAAAAAAACAAAACACAGUAGUGCCAUCAGUAUCUGACUUCAUCUUCAAUAAAAAUGAUGACAAAGAAUAGCCACGUUGACCCAACUUACCUCAACACGUAGUUUACGCACACUAUGCACUGCGGCUGAGAAUUCUUAGUGUUGUAUAUAACAGUUGCUUGAGUUUCAACCCAGACAUAGCCACCUUGUUUAGCAAGCAUUCUGUACUGUCCUGUUGUCACCUGCCCUUUUGUGAACACUGAAAGCAGAAAGGACACCAGCUUUAAUUACAGGCAGAAAAAACCGAAACCAUUUAAGGUAAGUAUUCACUGCAGAUUGAGAUCUGCAAUGAAAAGAAAGCCCCCAUUCUGCUGCUGCUUUCCCCCGGUGCUGUAUCUCAUCUCUUGUACUCCAAGGGCUUUAAGUACAUCUUUUCACUUACUGUCGUGGUGUGUUUUGGUCAGGUGAUCAGAAUCCAGCGCAUGAUAGUAUUCAUAGAUCGAGCGACCUAGGAGUUCCUCGGGCUCAUACCCCAUCAACUCUGUAAUUCUUUAAAAGAAUGGGAAAAAAAUUGCUAAAUAAAAGCAGACAUGGAGUGGCACAAAUACUAGAGCAUUGGGAUGCUCACACAUCUAGAAAAAUCCUGAGAGUCAAUUCCAUAGAUGUUAGCAGCAAUUUUGGUUUACUGGGAGCUUUCAUUUUGAAAUAAAUUGCUAUUUUUUAUGCUUCUUUAAAAAAGAAAUUUCAGCACGCACAGAUUUUUACUUCUCAUUGAAUAUUUAUAAAUCAUGUCCUGUGGUGGACAGGAUUAAGUAAAUCCCUGCUUUCUAGAUUUUUUUCCUUAAAGGUAGACCAGCUACUUAUGGACUAGCAUAUCCAGCUUACACAAAUAUGAGAAUUUAAUAAGAUAAAAUACAUGCUUCAACAGUUUCAAAUUUGCAACUAUUAGAAGUUCAGAAUCAGAUUUAUUCUUCCCACUGUCAACCACGGCCAGCUUUUAAAGAAAAGUGUUUUCUUCAGCCCCCAGAGGGCAGUGCUAACCAGGGGAAUGCAUUUAUUUUGCCCUAUUCUACAUGCAGAACGUGACGGAAUAAGUACCUUUUAUGUGACACCAUCAGUCCUAGAAAGGUAAAAGUUACUGCAGAAGACAGAAAAUAAUCUGCAGUAACAUCUCUCAGCAUCCAAACUGUAGCAACUAAUUAGAAGUUCGUUUUUGUUAUAAAGAAAAAGGAAAUAGGCAGUAAUGAAUACUACCCAAUUUAUGUUUUUACAUAAAAAACCCAAACAAAAGACCCUCAAAACAACAGAAAACCUCAAACCAAUGAUUUCUUUCACUUCUGUUUUUCAAAUUUGUCAAGUUUCCACAGGAUAGUAAGAGCAGUCUUACCUAUUUGACUACAUCCAUGAUUUGUACCAGAACAAAGUCUCAUUUUCAACAGCAGAUGUAUAGAAGUACAGCUAAACUUUUGGGGGUUUUUUGGACUAAUGAAAGCAGACGCUAAUCUCUUGAGAAAUGGAGCAGGGGGAACUUGUAGCAAUAAGAUGUAUCUGACAAGUAUUACACACACUCUCUCUUCAGUUGCCAAAAUGUACCAUCAUCUUUGACAAACCUAAAAUCCUUCCUGGUUUUUCACUGCCCAGAAAUUUCUUCUCAUUUCAGUUCAAUUGCUACCACCACACUAAAGACCAUUUUGAACAGGCAGUUAACUGCAGGCAAAAGAUUUAUUCCAAAGUAAUAACCCUGUACCCUCCUUAGAUUUAAAAAUCUGGCCUUUAAAUAAGACAUCCUCAUCAGUUAGUAAAAGCCAAAGCAUCCCAGUGAUGACUCUCUUGCACCAAUGAAUCGAGUUAACAAGGUACGGCUACAUAAAUGUAUACGGCCAACGUUAGCCCACAUGUACUAACCCCGCAAAUCCUUCACAUGAAUUCAUUAAUUACAGAUUAUAUAUUACCUUUCAUCACAAUAGGAAAAUUUCAUAUCAAGACUGUGACGACUGAGGAACGUUUUACUGUCCAAGGGGACCUCAAUGUUUGAUGGAUGAGGAAUAGGUUCACAGAUCAACACCAGACACGUCAUGGGAGGCUUUUUGUAGCCACAGUGUGUUUGAUUACCGCAUGUGUCGUAUACACGGAUGUGUCCAGUGCAGUGCAGUACCUAUGGGAAAGAUGCAUUUUAGAAAGAGACAGGUUCUUGUCUGUCGGACAACACAAUCGUAAUUCCAUUAGCACACCUGGAGCGAAGUCCUUCCCCUCCCCACCCUCGAUGUGAUAGCAACAGAAAGGCAGCAGUGUUUUCCGACAAUGGCUGAAGGAGAGCAGUAGUUCUCCCCCUCACGCUACGCAGGCUGCGAUGAGUACACAGGCUGCCAACUUGCCUCUUGGGUGCAGGCUGAAGGAAUGCUAGACAUUUCUGUGAACUGCUGUUCUGUGAAUGUUACCUUAAUGUCAACAAUGAUAAGCAAUUGCCUCAGCAAAAGGUAUCUUACUAUUUAAAUUUUAAAGUUAUGGUAAUAGUAGCAGCCUCCAUUUUAGAUCUUCUGCAGAAGUGAUAUUGAAUAUAUUCAAGUUUUGCAUUUUAGGGGGCUUUUUCUGGUUUUGUUUCAGGGUUGGGUUUUUUUGUUUGUUUUUAACCAUUCUGAAGUAGAAAUUGUUCACAGACAGCAGCAAAGAAGAAAGAAGUUGUUUGAUCCAGAAUAACUAAAUUUAAGUUACAAAGAGAACUGUGAGUCAUAAUACCACUCAAUGCGGUAAAAGGUUACUUUUUGUCCAGAGGAAAAAAUGCAUUCACUGCAGAAAGUUAUCAGGCUGGGCUCUUUUUGUUCCAACUGCUACAAAAGGGAUAGCCAGCACCUUCAGAGAGACCUCAACUGUCACAUUUACAGUGGCAAAUCAAAAGAAAUCAGGUAUCAGCACAAGUGGUGUCAAGUAUUUUUUCCCUCAGAGGAGGCUUUAUGCAAACAUACUGGAAAUUAUAAUUACUAAAUAAGUAAAUGACCUCUAAUUUAAAAUGGAGAGUUCAUUAAAAGAGUUUUGAAAAACUAAUUUUAGAACAUUGUUUCAGUUACCUCUGUGAUGUAUUCGGCAUUAAAAUUCAACAUAUUGAAGCACAACCAUUAAAUUAGUUAAGUACUCAGUGAAACUCAAGCUCCCUACAUGAAGUAAAAAUGUUGAAAUACAGUCUUAUGACAUCUGAAGAGGAAGCUGCCAAACUAUGUAAAUAUUCCUCUGCAUUAGUUACCUUCCACGUAGCAGACUUUAUAUUCACUGUUCUUCCCCUGCUAGUCAGCGUACACUUCAUUCUGAGAAAAAAGCUGCGCUCCGUGUUUUGCUCUUUGCCCUUUUUCACAGGACCUGGCAAAAGCAAAUAGUAAACCAACUCUUAAGCUCUUGGAUCAUCUUCCAAAGGCAUAAAAAAAAAAAGGCGUUAUAAAGCUCUAAGACUACGGGAAGACCCAAAAAGUAAAUUUAAAAGAUUGAUUAACCUAACAGCACGUUCAAUGACAACACUUUUCAGAAUGAGCUUUACUGGAGGUAGGCAAAAACUGAAGUUUCAAUGUUUUAAGAUCAGUAUCGUAUUUGUAGCCAACUCCACAGUUGGGGAGUGGUAGGGAGAGAGAGUGACUGAAAAUUUAAUGUAUUUUAAAAUCAUGACAGAGGACAAGAAAAGCAUGUGCAGAACAAGAAGUACUGUUGAGUAGGUUUCCAUUGAAAUACAUCAGUAACUCACUGCAGGAAGGUUCAGACCAAAUAAGUUUUGAGCCUGUAGCUCUACAGAACUGUAGUAUUUUAAGUUUUUCAGUUCAGAAUUAACAACUCUGCCGUUUACAUGCAUCCAAAUACUUCCACAGCGAUUUAUACUCUUAAGAGUAAACCAAGACCAUGUUUUUAAGCACAUUAUUAGCAUUCUUGGAGGUAAAAAAAGAAGUCAAGAAAUCCUAAUACAAAUUAAUAUUAGUGGCACUAAUUUUUAGCCUUAACUUAAAGCCGGCUGUUAGCAAGUAAGUUUUUGCCUUUACAGGGAGAACCUUUCAGAGUCAAUUACUACCUAGGCUAUUCUGGACAAAAAAGGCAAACUGAUCCUAUCAGGAGAGCUGCAAGCAACAAGCUGUGUGUGGAAGGAGGAAAUAAAGCACCUAGGUUAAGGAGCAGUGGAAGAGUGUUUGCCAGGGCGUGCUAAGGAGCAAGGACCAAAUCAUGGCAGAGGGUGGAAGUUCAGAACAUGUGAGCUUACUUCUGAUACAAGUUUAUGCAAUAAUUUGCUCUCAUCCUUCACAGACAAUAGCAGCUAUUAAAUUCUUCACGAUGGCUCGCACCACAACUACUAGUUCGAAAAAAAUUCACUAGAGAAAUAUUAAAGCUCCUUGCUACAUUGUCUAUUGCUUCUAGCAGAGGCAAAAGACUACCAGGGACAAGCCUACUUUAUGCUACAUCAAAACAUCCUCAAUAAGGGGCAGGGGGGACAGGGAAGGAAGGUUCAGAGAAGCAGCCAAAACUUUUUUAAUUCAGUAUGUUUUAGAAAGAGUUAAACCAAUCUAGAAAUUCAUAGUUGAAGAUCACACAACGUUAUUGUUACCAAGUCCUGAUGUUUAAGGCUCUGCUUUAAGUAGCGACCGUAAAAGAUGGAGCAACUUUCUCAAGUCUGAUUAAGUACUGACAUUAUUUUUAAAGUCACCAGCUUUGGAAUUUCAAAAAGCAACUUUGUAAAAACUAGAAAGCAUUUCAGUUUCUGGCAAUCACAUUUAUGUUCAUUUUCACCUAUGUAGUCCCAAAGGGGAGUAUUUAAUACUCAAUUCAAAACCAAAAUAAUUCCACUGAUGUAAGAGCUGCAGUAGAAUGCAACCUGGGAAUACUAAUAAAUAUAAAAAUGUACUAUUAUUACUGUAAUUUAGACUUUUGUCUGCCAACUUCAUUUGCGAAACACAUUUAGUAAUAAUGCUUUCCAGACAUCUUAUUCCAGACUGGUCAAUUUAGACACACAGGAGUUGGUUUGCAUGAAACUUGGUAAUACGACGUUUUUAAGAAUAAGCUUUUGCAACAAGACCAGUUUUUACACUGCCUUAGUAAGGCUGUGUCCCCACCCCUCCCAGAUGCAUUUACUGUAUUCCAAAGGGUGGGGGGGAGUCUAAUCUAGCCUUAAAAACAUACCUUAACACUAAGGGCAGACAAGUUUAGAAAAUGCUUACAAAAUCAAAGUCGGGGCCCUUAAUGCUAUGAUAUCUUAUCAGGUCUCUUUCACCGAAUUAAACAGAAUGACAACAUAAAAGACUUCUGAUUUACAGUGCUACACAAAAGCAGAGGUCAGGGUUGGUAAUUUAUCUAGAUUCAGAGUCCAUAUAACCCUUGUGUGAUGGAACAGGAAUUAGAGAGGUCAAGAUUUUAGGCUUCUAACAACUGAGUAAUGCAGAUUUGUUUGGAGGCAUACAGGCUGCCAAGCCUUUAUAAUCAUUAACAAACUUUUAGAAGGCAUAGAAGCAGUAAUUCAUGGGCAUUUGUUAAAUUCAAAAGCAUAAAGAAUAUGUGAACAUGGUGUUCUCCCUUGGAUAGAGUCAGAAAUCUGUGAAAAGAUACCAAUUUCAUGCACCAAUUAAAAGGUGCAGAGAAGUGUCAAUCCCAAAGCCCUUUUUGGGGCUGUCCAAGUAUUCCCCAAUUAGGUUUUCGGUGUCCUAAAUAUGGUUUCUGUAGUAUACCACCACAGAUUUCUGGAAGAAACCAUUCACUUUUAAGUUGUCCUGUAGAGGCAAGCCCAGACCAAGACAAAUACAGCGAUUUAACUUCUCCAUAUCCUUCUAUAGCAAUUGUUUAAGAUCAUUCUCAUUCAACCUACCUCUAAUUUUAUUCCUGUAGGCAUGCUAAUUUUUUCCACCCUCAAUAACUCUGUUUUAGUUGUUAAUUUUGUUUUAAAUUGAAGAGUACUAAUGAAGACUCAUCUCUCCUACAAUUAGGAUAUUGCCAAAACAUUCUGGUUAUUUCUGUUGUUAGUAUCUCCAAGGUUUAUUUUGAGAUUUAGGCAGCAAAACAUACUAGUUUGUUCUCUCAACACCUUUUUCUGGCAGAUAGCCAACUGUACUAAUGCCAGCAAGAACCAUCCAUAAGUAAAUGAAAUAAUUUUUUUUUUUUUCUUCUCACCAUUUCUGUGUGUAAGCAUUUCUCUCAGCUCUUCAUGGUCACAUGGAUGAGUGAAGUCAAAUACACUGUGCCCCGUCAACUCAAACUGCAAAAAACAAGAGGUACACGGGCGUCUAACUUUACGUAUACAAAAACAUAAUAACUUCUACAGAUUUGAAACAGUCUUAGGAAAUGUCAGUAUUUCACCUGAGUGAGUCCCAUACACUUGUUCACGUUUUCAGACAUGUAAAUCAUGUCCCCAUCUUCGGACAGAACCAUGACAAAUCCAUCAAGAGCUUUUAAGUAGAAGCAGUUCAGUUCCUUCUCCAUUUUGGCUUCUGUCUCCAGCUCACCUACAAGCAGCCACACAUUUUUGUUAAAGUAAACAUCAGCCAUUCCUCACUUACCAUCAGGAAUGACUUCUGGCACCAGUCUGCAAGGAGUCAGUCUUGCAGGACUGUUUAAAACCAGCAUAAUUCACUUAGAUAAGUGAUCAAUUAAAUUAUUCAAGCUCUAGUAAUGAUAUCACAAAUCACAUAAAAUCGGAAUGAGGUUAAACCAAUAAACCUUCCGUCUUAAGGAAGGUUUAAGUUCCUUCCAUCAAAGGAAAAAGUCUAUGUGGCAAAAACAUUACCAUUUAUCUCAAAAAGGCAUUACAAACCUUUUUCAGGGGUUUCCUAGGAGGCGUUUCAGAGUAUGCCUACCAAAGUUACUCCUCAAUACAGUAUAGGUAGGUAUGCAUGCACGAUUACAAAUAGCAUCCAAGUACAGCGUCCACAGCCUGCUAUACAGACAGUGGUUCAUAAGCUAACUCAGAUACUCCUAUAGUUGCCUGGGAAGCUGUACUGCAGAGACAGACAUAUCCUCAGCUAACUUCACCUGCAGUGGAGUACAAAAUUACAAAAAAUUCCUUGCAGUUUAUAUUAAGGAGAAACACCUACAGUUAGCUAAGCCAGCCUUGCACCAACCACCUACAGUUUAGUGAAGCACAGUUGUAGCAACCAACUCUAGGGGAAAGAAAAAGAGAAAUAACUUUUGGAGACAGGUCAAGUAACUAAGACUGAAAAUGGCAGUAUGGCUGUGGUCAGCCAACUGCAACCAUCAGAAUAGAAAGGGAAAAAAAAAUGUCCGUUGAACAGUGCCAUCACCAAAAGCCUAUUUCUACUGUAAGGUCUUCCACUUUUCCAUAGAAAGGAUGCAACUAUUAAUGUAUUUAUUUAACAGCUGAUAGGUUUGAGAAAUAGCUUCUUCCUCAAUAUACCUUCAGCCUCUUUUCCAGAUGCUGCUAUGUUAUUCACUCACCAGCAUCUAGCAGUUUUCUCAUGCGCAAGUAGCUGAUGGUCAGUCUCAUAAUGGAUGCCUUGUCCAGGUGUGCGCUCACGGUGUGGGGCAGGGGCAGCUGAUGAGCAAGCUCAUAGAACACUUCUGAUUCCUUGCUCCUUCGGCACCGGGCUGCAUCUCUUGACUUCUCCUUUCUGCGUUCCGAGCUAAUCCUAUAUAAACAAAGUUUGGGGUUAAUAUAGGAAACAGAGUUCUCUGCACAAGUUAAGAUUUGAAACUAAGCUGCCCAGUAGCCAAUUAACCAGUUAUUGAAGUUGAAUAAUAUAAAACCUCAGUUUAAAAGGGUAAAUGUAAUUCUGUAUAUUGAGUUCUACUGCAGUUGGGGUCUGCCAGAACUAAUUUGAAACCCACAGAGUCUUCUGACAAGAUCAGUUCUUCAGACAUCUACGUACUCAGAACUGUUCCUGAAGUGCUUAUCUCAUACCUUGACUGCUGCCUCUCUAGCCUCCAAAUUCUGUUUCCUUCCUCUUUCCUAACCUCUUAAGUCUAUACGAAACACUACAGCUUAAGUUAUUUCUAACUCAAUGCUUGAGUAGUAUCAUGUACACUCUCCAAGUUCUUCCCUUUUUACCAUCCUUUCAAAGCCCACCUAAUGGGUCAGAUAAGCAAGGAUAUUGAUUUAGCAUGAGGUGUCAUGCUUUUCAAGUGAUCCAAAAAGCCCCAUUCCCAGUUCUCUUUCUCCAGUAUAGCCCCUUCCAUAGUCUCCCCCGUACUGGAGAACUCCAGCUGUUAAGAAGUUGCCUCAUUUUCCUUCCAUUGCCUCUAUUAGGCUCACCUCUCCCAGGACGCAUGAAGUAAAGGACAGCUCACUAAGAACAAGGACCAAAACAAUUGAGACUCUCAGUCAGUAACACGGGUAAUUCUCCCUUCUCCCAGUACCCACACCAGCUCACAUUUGUCUCCUGCAUCUGUCAUAUGAGUUUUGAACUAAGCACUUUGAGACAGGUGCUCCAAAAUUUUUUUUUCAUUUGAACAAGAACUCAGCGCUUCUGUGGUCCUCAAGGAAAUUAUGCCACUGCAGUUGUAUGUGCUGUUAUUACAGUCUACAAAAGUAGACUGUAUUAUUGUCCAUUUUUUGUUUCAUACGUUUAUGUCUUCUGACGGCACCCUAUCUUCAUUUUGCAUACACCUGAGAUACAAAAGGCAGUUGCACUAAUCUGUAGGAGCUCCUUUUUUUUCCCCCAUCAACUUACAUGAAAGUUUUAAGAUAAACCUAUGCCUAUAAACACUGUUUUUAUAAUUCAAAGUUGCAUGCCUUUUAAUGUUAUCAUAAAGAGAUUAAGUGUCACUAGUUGAAAGAGACAGAAAAUAAGGCACUGCAUUAUAUACUACCAACAGUUUAGGAAUUACUUUUUUCAAAUUUCACUAGACUUAAGAGUCAUGUACUACCACUACCAAAUUCACAUUGCUAAGUCUGCAGAUCUGGGCAAAAAAUGCUUUUUAAUGAGCAGACAUCUUGUGAGAGGUACACAGAAUCACAGGUUGGAAGGGACCUCAGGGAUCAUCUAGUCCAACCUUUCUAGGAAGAGCAGAGUCUAAACAAGAUGGCCCAGCACCCUGUCCAGCCAAAUCUUAAGUAUCCAACAUGGCCGAGUCAACCCCUUCCCUGGGGAGAUCAUUCCAAUGGUAACUGUCCUCACUGUGAAAAAUUUCCCCCUCAUGUCCAAUCGGAAUCUCCCCAAGAGCAACUUGUGUCCAUCCCCCUUGUCCUCUCCAUGGGACUCCUUGUAAAAAGGGAGUCUCCAUCUUCUUUGUAGCUGCCCCUUAAGUACUGGUACGUGGUGAUGAGAUCCCCUCUCAGCCUCCUUUUCUCAAGGCUAAACAAACCAAAAAUGAUACAGGUGACAGGGGAAAGCUAGUCACAAGCUGGUACUGCCUGGGAAAUAAUGAACCACAUUCAAAGUAAGCUGUCAAAUACAUACCCAAAGGAAUGCCUUUUCAGUCCUUUACCUGAUGUGCUACCCACAAUAGCCAAGAAACUGCUUAGUUUGUGCAGAAACAUGCAAGCGACAAUACUAUUAAGACUGACAUUGAAAGCACGAAUGCCUUGAAACACAAAAGUUUCAUAAACUCUGAUCAAGACAAAGUAAGCCAUCAGAAUUUCUUCUGUGAUUACCUUCAUUUUUUGCAACUUCAUAAAACUGUACAACAUUCCUAUCCAUCCCUACUCCCACCAUCCUCUCCACCUACCCCUGCCACUGGCAGCAGAAGGAAGCACUAGAAGCCUGAUUUUCAGAAUCAUAAGAGCUCAGAAUAGGAUUAUGUUUUUUCCUUUGGUGGCAAAAUCAGACUACUAGAUCCCAGAAAUACUAUUACUAUGUAAUGAGAAACAUUACUAAUUCAACAUAAUAUUACUGGAGAUCUUUGGAAAACUAACUUAUGGGUAUAACAGUAGUAAAAAGUUCCAGACAUACAAUAGUUCUAUCUACUUCUGUGAAUAUAAGCUCAUGUUACUCAGAAAGGUAGCCUAAAAUAUCUGAUAAUAUUUCCCAUCUUGCAGAUUUUUUUCACAUUCAGUUUCCCUGUGACAACAGAUGUUCCUGCUGUAGUCAUGGAUACCUUGGUCUGAGAAGCUUGAGGCUCCUGACGUACAGACGGGCCUCAAGUACCUUUUCUCUUGGUGGAAAACUAAAGGUGGAGGUGAAAAACCAUGUGGAUUCUCUUUGUCCUCUUUCCUGGACCGCAGAUUUCACUGACAAAGAAACGUUCCCAACUUUGAAUUCAGUCUACAGGAAACAGAAAACAACAAAUUCUCUUUCUUAAGCCCUGCCUUUAGGAAGGAAGGAUAAGCUUUGCAUACCGAUUCUUACAUUCUGAAGAAAGCAGAUUACAUCCAGGAUAAGGAAAUUGCAAAAGUAGUACCCAAGUGGGACAGAAUGGUAAGUAAAAAAAAUAACAAAUGCUCAAGGGGAAAAAAAAAAAAAAAAAAAACACAAAACAAACCAACCCAAAACAAAAACCAGCAACAGAGAACAACUCGAGUCUCAAACCCCCUUUAUAGACCUGCCAUUAAAUUAGGGCAGCAGAGCAAAGCACAGAAUAAUCAUUUCUCUUGCAACGUUUUCUCCCAGGCUUCCGAAAAGCCAUUAGCUUUGAGUAGAAAAAACAAAGGCUACAGAAUCGGUGCUACCCUCAGGUGCCCCACUGUACGGAUUUUGUUAGACCAAAAGCUGCUUCUCCCCCCACCCUACACCCUGCACGGCCGUAACAGCUCCAAAUUAUCCCGGGGAUGAUCCCGUCCUAGAGGUGAAGCGCUCCCUGCUCCCCAUCCCAGCACCCUGCGCUCCCAGCUCCAGCUCGGCACAAAGCUCACCAUCCAUUUUAAAAGCCAGCCAGUCUCCUCUCCAGCACAACUUACACGCUUUAAUACUUAUUGUGUUUAACAUACUCAGGUGACCCUCUGAUACAAGACCUGAGAAAAUCCAUCUUUUUUUUUUAAAAAAAAAAAGGUAUCAAUAACAAUAUAAACAAGCGGCGUCUUCUGCAGAUGGCGAUUACGGCAAUUAAUCCCUCCACAAAGCGCGCCGGUGGAGCACCAACGCAGAAAUCUGGUCACCCAAAUACUCAAACUCCCUAACUUCACCAUGUAACAAAGGCUUUUAAGGCUUUUAUUUCCCCCUCCUAAUUUGAGCUAACAA